GUGCAUGUGUAUCUGUCUUGCUGCUCGGAGAGGUUCAGCUUGAAUCUGUGAGAGUGCGGGGUCUCGACUUAGUGGCAGUCAGGCUCCUUUAUUCGGUCAUUUCAAAGGCCGUUUUCAAGCUUUUCUGGGAGCUGCACCCCGGCAGCUGCUCCUUCUGGCCAUCACUCAAGCACACAGCUGGGCGCCAAGACCUGCUCUCCUGUGCUCGACCCCCCUGGGCUUCCAAAGAGACACAAAAGCAGCCGUGAGGAGUUCAGAUGGUGAUGUUCCUGGUCUCCAGGGCAUGUGGACAAGGUCCCGUGUUCAGGAUAGACCAAAAAAGAAAAUGCUUGGUAAAAACGCCCCAGUAUUGGAGGAAAGAUGCUCCUACCCCCUGCAGCCAUGAGCGCGACCGGGCCAACUGUCUGGAGGGGGAACGCGAACGCGCACCUUCGGCCCAGAGACCGCGCUUCCAGGUGUCCGUCUGACAACAGACUCCCAGGAGCACCCCAUAUAUGCCAGGACAUCCACCACAGCUGUCUCAGGAGCCCAAAACUACAAGCAGAUGUGCUCAUAAGCAGCGCGCUCGCACACUUAGAGAUCUGCGGCACACAGGGUGCAGGGCG